UUUGCCCCAUAACACCCAUAUUUCUUUUCAUAUAAGACUUCAAUAGCUCAUAAAAGGUCAUUUACCAAAAUUUAAGUAGAUUCUAGAUUUCUUUUCUUCCGAUUUGAGACCCAAAUAAUACCAAUGCAAAUAUAAGGUAAAAGUCCGAGUCAACCUUUUUCCGCCAUUUUAAAAAAAUUAAAUAUCUCGAAAAGGAGCUCCAUAACCUAUCAAUAUUUUUAGCUUAUUUUGUUCCUUAACUAAUGCUCUUCUGACUUAUAGUAUGAAUUUUAAAAUCUAGAUUUUUUUUAAUUUCACCUAAGUACAUCCUUAAUUACAAAGUUGAUGAGCAUUAUAAACAAAAUAUUCCAAACAGUUAUGCUUAAUCAGGUCAAUGUCACUUAUUCAUGUAGGUAAAUAACCCUUAGUGUUUCAAAAGAGUUAUGCUUAAUCAGGUCAAUGUCACUUAUUCAUGUAGGUAAAUAACCCUUAGUGUUUCAAAAGAGUUAUGCUUAAUCAGGUCAAUGUCACUUAUUCAUGUAGGUAAAUAACCCUUAGUGUUUCAAAAGAGUUAUGCUUAAUCAGGUCAAUGUCACUUAUUCAUGUAGGUAAAUAACCCUUAGUGUUUCAAAAGAGUUAUGCUUAAUCAGGUCAAUGUCACUUAUUCAUGUAGGUAAAUAACCCUUAGUGUUUCAAAAGAGUUAUGCUUAAUCAGGUCAAUGUCACUUAUUCAUGUAGGUAAAUAACCCUUAGUGUUUCAAAAGAGUUAUGCUUAAUCAUGUCUAUGUCACUUAUUCAUGUAGGUAAAUAACCCUUAGUGUUUCAAAAGAGUUAUGCUUAAUCAUGUCUAUGUCACUUAUUCAUGUAGGUAAAUAACCCUUAGUGUUUCAAAAGAGUUAUGACACUGAAAACAACAUAAUUACAACAUUACCCCGAAAAACGAACCAGGAAACCUUAUUGACUUUGUUCAUCUAUUCAAAUUUAAGUUUGUUUUGAUAAGAACUAUCGGUAUCCUCUCUACAUUGAACACAUUAAAAAGUAAACAUGAUGCAGACGUUGUAGACCCUAGGACUAUAUAAACUUAUACGAUGUAAACCCUAGGACUGUAUAAACUUAUACGGUGUAGACCCUAGGACUGUAUAAACUUAUACGGUGUAGAGCCUAGGACUAUAUAAACGUAUACGGUGUAGAGACUAGGAUUAUAUAAACGUAUACGGUGUAGACCCUAGGACUAUAUAAACUUUAUACAAAUAGUAACUUGACGAAUCACCUUUCAAUCACGU